rnacentral:lncRNA from 1 species
UCUCUGUCUCGCCUCUCUCAGCCAGAAGAAAAGAAAAACGCAAGAGAAAGGAAGAAAUUUGCGAAAGAGACCUGGACUCUCUCAGUUAGAGUUCUCAGCAGAACAAAGGAAAAGGGAAGAAAAAAAAUCUCUCGGCUCUUUCUCUCAGAUUCUCCCUCUCAUUUUUUAGCAAAUAAAACACUCCCUCUCAAAUUUUCUCUUGGACAGGGCAAGGCCAAUAAAAAUGAUUGGAGCCUGCAAUUUCAUCAAAUUUUAAUCAAGAGACUACAAUCUUCAUUGAGGUAUUUAUUCUUUUUAUCUUUUUUCCAACUUUUUCCUUUCUUUAAUUUAUUAAAUUAAAUACAUGAUUUGAUGUUUGUUUGUCCCUUGGCUUCGUUUGUUGUUGUUACUGAUGUUGUUGAAUUUUUGGGGAAUCCAUGAAUAAACAUUAAAAAAAAUGAUUUCUGUGAAUGCAUGCUAAUUGUUUAAAAAAUGUAAAAAAUGGGAAAAAUGAAUUUCAAGGGCUGUUUUGCUUUAUUUUAAUUUUUUUAAUGUUGGUUUCUUGUCAAAUAAAAUCAUAGUUAUAUUGUAGGAAUUGUAAGGAGUGUUGUAGUAUAAUUUUUAUAAUUUUUGGUAAAAGAUAAGGUGAUUUGAAAAAAUAAAAAUCGUGACUGUUUCUGGCAUUUUGACUAUCUUCGGAUUAUUUUCUGUACAAAUUAAAUCCGGAUUUGAAAUCUACUCGAAAAAUCGAGUGAAAAUGUGUGUUUUGAUAAUUUUUGGGUGACCGGAAAAAUUGCCGGCGAUCGGUAACCGGAGGCACCGUCAGCGGUAACCACGGCCACCGACAGAAUGUUGUAGGAAAAGUUGCAGAAGUUGAUUUCCGAAGCUUUGCAUGAUAAUCUGGAAAAUUUGCGGUUCAGCCCCCAACUUUCAAAUAAUUACAUUGUGGCCCAAAAGCUUUUGUAAUUGAACCAGUCAUGUCCUUAUUGAGUUUUUAUUUUUUAUUUUUUAUAUUUUAACUGCAUUUCAGGUAUGUUGUUUCUGUGAUUUGAGGGUGUAAUUAUAUUCUAAUGAUUUUGAUAGAUUUAUUAUUUUGAUUGGGUUUGAUAAAAUAAUUGGAGUUUUUUGGGUUGGGAUUUGUUUGGUUGGGUUUGGUAUAAAAUUUGGAUCAUUUUAUUGGUUUUUAGAAAUGGGUUUUGGUUUAUUUCUUGUGGGUUUGGGUUAGGCUAAGAAGUCAAAAUCCAUGUAUUUAUUUGAGUUGAUUUGAGUGAUAAAAGACGGGCUGGCCUGUGAGUUUUGGCUUGGAUUUCGGUUGGGCUAGGAGGUCAUAGCCCAUGUAUUAUUUGGUUGGGUUUGGGGAAUGGACUUUUGUUUUAUUUCUUUCGGGUUUCGGUUGGGCUAGAAGGUCAGAGCCCAUGCCUUUAUUUUGGUUGGAUCUGAGUGAUAUAAGACGGGCUGGCCUGCUCGUUUCUUUUGGGUUUCGACUGGGCUUAGGCAGUACUCGGCCCAAAUAAAUAAAUAAUGGCCCAGUGGCCUGUUUUCUUAAGAAGAUCUGCUAGCGAAUUUGCACUUCAGUCCCUGAUCUUUGGAGUAAUUUUACUGUGGCCCAGAACAUUUUAAAUUCCUUUCACUUAGGUACUUAAUUUAAUUGCACUUUGGUUCUUGAAUUUUAUCUUUCAUUUAAUUUUGACCCUUAAACUUUGGAAAAAUAUAACUUCUGUCCCUAAAAGUUUUCAAUCUUUGCAAUUCAGUCCCUGAUGAAUUUUGACUCUCUUUAUUAUGAUUGUUUCUUUUCUUUAAUAACUAAUUAUGUUAUUUUUGAACAUAUUCAACUUGCAAUUUUUAGAUGUUCUUAAAUUUCUUUGCGUUUAACAUGUUAAUGUGAAUUUAGUAUUUUAACAUUAUUAUUAUUUUCAAUUAAAGUGGUGCCAUGAUUCUUUUGUUCAUUGUGAGUAUAAAUAGGACAAUUUGACUCCAUUUAGUCACCACUUCAAACGGGAGGUACUCCUAUUUUAUUAUUUCAAUGUCAAUUACGUGUUCUUAUGUGCUCCUAUUUGUUCCUAUGUGUUUAUAUAUUUUUAUAUGCUUUAUUUACUUGAUUUAAAUAUUCAUUCAAAUUUUCUUAUAUAUGUUUUAGUUAAUUUUUAUAAUGAUUCAAGAGGCAUUUAAAUACCUCAAAAAUGUAAUAGAUAGGAUAAUUAGAUUUGUUUUAUUAUAUUUUUCCCUUCUAGAUUGUAGUUAGGCGCCCCCGAUGUAAUAGAUAGAUUGCGUGUUUAUGUGGCUUAUGUGUUAUGUGUUUUGUCCGCUUUUCUUAGGAUUUUGGCAUCUAGAUAUUAUGUUUACGUGUUAUGUGCUACGUGCUCUUAUGUGUUUAUUUGUUUCGCUAUGAAUUGUUAAUGCAUGACGUCACCACACUAGUCCAACGCUAGUUGUGGUUUCUCCCUCCGCUUACUUGCUAGUCCAACGCUAGCAAGGAUUUUUAGAAAUGGGCUAGUCCAACGCUAGACCCUUUAGGUCAUCUUGUGCUAGAUUCAUCAUUGUAUGCUAUUCACCACAUUUUCAUGCAUAUUUUCAUUUUUAGGAUCUUUUCUCAUUUGCAUGAUAUUCCCUAUUUUAUUAUCCCCUACCCGCUAUAGGUGCUAAUCAUGUCAUUUAGAAUUGCAUCCCAUUUAAGCUAGUUCAUUUGCUUGUUCAUGUUAGGAUAAUUAUUUUUCAAACAUGGGAAAUGGGUGAUUAUAACUUUCUAGUUUAAAUACCCUAUUAAUCCAUGUAUAAGAAAAUUAUGUCACGAAUUUUUUUGCCUCCCGUACCCUUUAUGUUGCAUUCCCUUUUUCUUUGAUCACUUAUAUAUAUGUAUAUAAUUUAAUUUCUUUUCUUUUAUUUUCUUUUCUUUUUCAUCAUUUGCAUCCUUGUGACACCUUCGAGGAUUUAUUUUGACCUUCGCAAUUAAUGCGAUUGGUUCAAUUAAACCCUUGAAUGAACAUGUUGUCCCUUGCGAUAUUUUUUAGAUUUGCAUUCAUAUAGAAAACAUCCAAAUGUGAUAAAUUAAGGGUUAGAUUAGGAAAAUUUUGACUAAACCUCGCAACUAGCUUAGACUAGGUUGAAAGGGUGCCUUAGAUUUGAGUUAAUCGAAUCUUUGCCUUCCCUUUCUUCAACCGUGACUCCCGAAUCCAUUUUCUCUUGUUUUCAAAGACCUGGAGUUGUCAAAAAGGGUUUUAUUUUGUUUUACUUUAUUUUUUUGGGUGACUUGGUACACCAAAACUCCAUACCAAGUGGCGACUCCUGUUUUUUUCUUAAAAACCCUUUUAGACUAAAUUUGGACCCAAAUUGUCGCAUUCUUUUUAAGUCCCAUUCUAGGUCCCUUUUAACUUGUUUAAAAAUAAAAUCAUAUCUUUUAUAAAUCUCACACUUUAUUUUUAUUUCCAUCGCGAAAAAUGGGGCGCGACAUAUAUAUUCUUUGAAUUACAACAGGUCCGGUGUGCUCUACUUUUGGUGAUAUUGUCAGGGACACUAGAUGCUUGUGUUAGUAUAGACUACUGCAUGACCUCCGCUCUCUUGGUUGUACUUCUGAGUUUUGAAAUGCUUGAGGGCAAGCAUUGUCUAGGUGUGGGGGGAUUUGAUAGAGCAGUUAUUGGGCAUAUUUUGCAGUGUUAUUUUGGCCUAAUUUUGGCUAUUUACGGUGCUAAGUACUGAGAUUUAACUCAUAUCUCACAUUCGUAUGAAUUAUAGGUGAUCGGCAUUAAAAAUGAUCUCGCGGGGUAGAUUUCCAGAAGACUUGUCGUCCCCGGGCGUGACCACGCCUUGAAAGGUGGACGAAACCGAAAGACGGACCGUGGUCCAUGUGGACCAGGCACAUGGGAUCAAAACUCCAAAAGGGAAAUGGCUUUUGUAGAAUCAAUUGCACCAGACGUUUCCUUCUUUGACUCUUCUUGGACGGCGGCUAUAAAAAGAAAAGGACAAAGCAAGAUUAAGCAUCAUCUACUUUUUAGUCUUAGGUUCUCUUUUUCUACUUUUUGGGGGAGAUUGGUCAGACGGUUCUUUUUUUUUGGUUUUUCUUUUGUUCCUUCUGCGGCUCUGGGUCAGACAUUGGAGACUUUCUCCGUUGCUGUAGCUUUUGCUUUUGGCUUCUGUACAAUUUUUCCUAUUCGACUUUUGCUUCUACUCUCGCUCCAGGGGUACGAACACGAAACCCAACAAAGGGAAGCGAAACUUUUUCAGCAGUUCCUACGUUAAUUCAUCUUUUUCAAUUCUUCGGCAAUUAAUUGAAUGAAUUCAAU